rnacentral:rRNA from 1 species
UACGGAGGAUCCAAGCGUUAUCCGGAUUUAUUGGGUUUAAAGGGUGCGUAGGCGGCUUGUUAAGUCAGGGGUGAAAGACGGUAGCUCAACUAUCGCAGUGCCUUUGAUACUGACGAGCUUGAAUGUACUUGAGGUAGGCGGAAUGUGACAAGUAGCGGUGAAAUGCAUAGAUAUGUCACAGAACACCAAUUGCGAAGGCAGCUUACUAAAGUAUGAUUGACGCUGAGGCACGAAAGCGUGGGGAUCAAACAGG